CGAGGACGAACGCUGGCGGCGUGCCUAACACAUGCAAGUCGAACGGGGAUUUGUUUCGGCAGAAUCCUAGUGGCGAACGGGUGAGUAACGCGUAGGCAACCUGCCCUCCGGCCGGGGACAACACUCCGAAAGGGGUGCUAAUACCGGAUACGAAGUCUGUGCCGCAUGGUACGGAUUUGAAAGAUGGCCUCUAUUUAUAAGCUAUCGCCGGGGGAUGGGCCUGCGUCCGAUUAGCUGGUUGGUGGGGUAACGGCCUACCAAGGCGACGAUCGGUAGCCGGUCUGAGAGGAUGAACGGCCACAUUGGGACUGAGACACGGCCCAGACUCCUACGGGAGGCAGCAGUGGGGAAUCUUCCGCAAUGGGCGCAAGCCUGACGGAGCAACGCCGCGUGAGUGAGGAAGUUCUUCGGAACGUAAAGCUCUGUUGUUCCUGACGAACCUCCCUUCUAUCAACAACGGAAGGGACUGACGGUAGGGAACGAGGAAGCCACGGCUAACUACGUGCCAGCCGCUGC
rnacentral:rRNA from 1 species